GACGAACGCUGGCGGCGUGCUUAACACAUGCAAGUCGAACGGAAAGGCCCUGCUUUUGUGGGGUGCUCGAGUGGCGAACGGGUGAGUAACACGUGAGUAACCUGCCCUUGACUUUGGGAUAACUUCAGGAAACUGGGGCUAAUACCGGAUAGGAGCUCCUGCUGCAUGGUGGGGGUUGGAAAGUUUCGGCGGUUGGGGAUGGACUCGCGGCUUAUCAGCUUGUUGGUGGGGUAGUGGCUUACCAAGGCUUUGACGGGUAGCCGGCCUGAGAGGGUGACCGGCGACAUUGGGACUGAGAUACGGCCCAGACGCCUACGGGAGGCAGCAGUGGGGAAUAUUGCACAAUGGGCGGAAGCCUGAUGCAGCAACGCCGCGUGCGGGAUGACGGCCUUCGGGUUGUAAACCGCUUUCGCCUGUGACGAAGCGUGAGUGACGGUAAUGGGUAAAGAAGCACCGGCUAACUACGUG
rnacentral:rRNA from 1 species